rnacentral:lncRNA from 1 species
AUGCGACAACUUUCCAUUUCUUGAAUGAACUUUGAGGAAAAGUUUCCUUUUACUGAUAGAACUUUCUUCAAUUGGAAACAAACUUUUUUUUUACCAAUAUUGGCAAUGAACUUUCUUUUUUUUCUAAACGGAUGUUUAAAUAAUAGGAUAAACCUCCCAUUUUUCUCAAUGAACUUUUGGAAAUUCAUGGUAGAAAACUCUUGAUUUUUUAAGGGAUUUCCGAAACUUCAAGAUAAAUUUCCAAUAGAUUUUGGAUGAGGUUUUAGAAUUUGGGGCAAACAUGAAGUUAAUUUGGACAAAUACGCACAUUGGUCGGACCAAACCCCUCCCUUACAUAUCUCUCUCACACACCCUCUCUCUCUCUCAUUCUCUCCCACAUCCAUCC